GACGAACGCUGGCGGCGUGCUUAACACAUGCAAGUCGAGCGAGGCCCCUCCUUCGGGAGGGUGUCCUAGCGGCGAACGGGUGAGUAACACGUGGGCAACCUGCCCUCAGCUCUGGGAUAACUCCGGGAAACCGGGGCUAAUACCGGAUACGACCUCCACGGGCAUCUGCGGAGGUGGAAAGUUUUUCGGCUGAGGAUGGGCCCGCGGCCUAUCGGCUAGUUGGUGGGGUAGUGGCCCACCAAGGCGACGACGGGUAGCCGGCCUGAGAGGGCGACCGGCCACACUGGGACUGAGACACGGCCCAGACUCCUACGGGAGGCAGCAGUGGGGAAUAUUGCGCAAUGGGCGAAAGCCUGACGCAGCGACGCCGCGUGAGGGACGAAGGCCUUCGGGUUGUAAACCUCUUUCAGCAGGGACGAAGCGAAAGUGACGGUACCUGCAGAAGAAGCACCGGCCAACUACGUG
rnacentral:rRNA from 1 species